rnacentral:rRNA from 1 species
UCUGGUGACAAUGGCAAGGAGGUCACACCUGUUCCCAUGCCGAACACAGAAGUUAAGCUCCUUAGCGCCGAUGGUAGUUGGAUUUAC